AUGGGGCCUCUUCAUCUCAGACUGGCCAGCAGGGGCCCCCAGCACCCCCCGCCUCCAUGCCUUCCUGAGUCAUGGCCAGGAUUUGUGGAUGGUGGCCAGGAACAGCUUCCCCCAGGCAGCUCUUGUCCAAGCUGUCUCUUGGAUGCUUGUAGGACUUCAUGCACUUGCCUUUAUGCCUUCUCCUCUUCCAACAACGUAUUUGAGAGAUUUUUGCUAUUUAUUCAGAUUCCUAGUUAUUUAUUGCGAUUGGCAAGUGCUCGAUUUGAUGAAGGGUGGGGCUGUUUGUGGAUGGUGGCCAGGAACAGCUUCCCCCAGGCAGCUCUUGUCCAAGCUGUCUCUUGGAUGCUUGUAGGACUUCAUGCACUUGCCUUUAUGCCUUCUCCUCUUCCAACAACUGGGCGUUGGUUCUGGGAUGGGCUGGAAACCUUUGAGACCUUGGAGCUGGAAAAAACAGUUGAGCAGGGAUGACGUCAAGAGGCUUUCAGAGGAGUUCCCAUCGUGGCACAGGGGAAACAAAUCCGACUAGGAACCAUGAGGUUGCGGGUUCAAUCCCUGGCCUCGCUCAGUGGGUUAAGGAUCCAGCAUUGCCGUGAGCUGUGGUGUAGGUUGCAGACGCGGCUCAGAUCUGGCGUUGCUGUGGCAGUGGCGCAGGUCAGCGGCAACAGCUCUGACUAGACCCCUAGCCUGGGAACCUCCACAUGUCAUGGGUGUGGCCCUAAAAAGACAAACAAAAACAAAAAAAGCCUUUAGAGUAGGCAGAAGAAAAGGCUAGGAAAUUUUUGUUGGAAGAGCAUGAGCCACUCUUCUUUAAUAACUGCAGUUUGUAGCUGGGGGAGAGGAGGCUGUACUGGGGCAGAAGGUGUUAUGUUGUGAUCGUAGCAAGUUACUUAUCUGUUAAUUUGCCGAAACCUUCGGCAUGCGAAAGUUCCUGGGCCAGGGGUUGAACCUGCACUACAGCAGCAAUCAAGUCUUUGAUAACCCGUAGUCUGGAGAAAAUCACUGAUAACAUGUUAGUCUUCUUCCCAGAGGUAGAUUUUUGUGUGUAAUUGUCACCUUCCUCAUUUUCUUGUGUAUUGUCUCACCCCUCAGGUUAGGUGCUGAGCAAGUUGCUGUAUGAUUUUAAAAUAUUUUAAUGCACUAUAUACUAUUUUAAUAUGCUAAAAAUGUCUGAAACCAGUUCCUAUGUCUGACUAUUUUGCUUAUUCCCCAGCCUCUAUUAUGAGUAGUACUGUGGGGAGUGUUCAUGUUUGAAAUCAUUGCAUUCGAGGUUUAUUCCCCCAGCUCAGUCCUCUAAGUGAGUUAGAAGGUAUGAACCUUUUUACGGUUUUCAUGCAGACUGCCAAGCUGCCUUCCGGAAUCCAGCCAGCAGUUUGUAAUACCACCUGCAUGCAUCGCGGUCCUCACGCUGGGUGUUAAAAUCUUUGCUGGAGUUCCCGUCGUGGCGCAGCGGUUAACGAAUCCGACUAGGAACCAUGAGGUUGCGGGUUCGAUCCCUGCCCCUGCUCAGUGGGUUAACGAUCCGGCGUUGCCGUGAGCUGUGGUGUAGGUUGCAGACGCGGCUCGGAUCCCGCGUUGCUGUGGCUCCGGCGUAGGCCAGCGGCUACAGCUCCGAUUAGACCCCUAGCCUGGGAACGUCCAUAUGCCACGGAAGUGGCCCAAGAAAAAUAGCAAAAAGACAAAAAAAAAAAAAAAAAAAAAAAAUCUUUGCUAAUCUCCUAGAAAUUUUUUGCCUUAUCUUACGAUGUAAUGGUUAGGAGCAUAGACUCCAGUGUCGUUCAGACCUGGAGUCUUGUCCUUGUUCUCCCUCGGCGCUCUUGAUUAAAUCGAGUCAUAAUACAGGCAGUGUAGACUAGUGCUUGACAGGUCUCUGGAGCUCUUGAAGUAGGACCUCGGCACUGACGCAGAAGAGGUGGGGCGGGGCGGAGCCAGCCCUGGAGCGGCCAGUCACGAGUCGAAGCGGCGAUGCCACGCCCUCUCAGGGCUCCCUCUUAAAAGGGCAAAAGGCACGGGGAGGUCCCGUAGGGCCGCUCCAGACCCCCACUGUUGGAGUCCUUUGCACUUUGGGGCGGGCUUUGAGUGGGCGGGGCCUACGUUCCGCCGUCCAGUG
ensembl:lncRNA